rnacentral:sRNA from 1 species
AACCUAAUAGUUGGUUAAUGCUACACCAACUGGGUAGAGAUAAUCCUGCGGAGUAAAACAUGAGCGAUAAAAUUAUUCAUCUGACAGAC